rnacentral:rRNA from 1 species
GACGAACGCUGGCGGCGUGCCUAAUACAUGCAAGUCGAACGCAAAACUUUCACCGAAUGCUUGCAUUCACGAAAGUUUUGAGUGGCGAACGGGUGAGUAACACGUGGGUAACCUGCCCAGAAGAGGGGGAUAACACUUGGAAACAGGUGCUAAUACCGCAUAAUAACAAAAACCGCAUGGUUUUUGUUUGAAAGAUGGUUUUGCUAUCACUUCUGGAUGGACCCGCGGCGUAUUAGCUAGUUGGUAAGGUAAAGGCUUACAAAGGCAAUGAUACGUAGCCGAACUGAGACGUUGAUCGGCCACAUUGGGACUGAGACACGGACCAAACUCCUACGGGAGGCAGCAGUAGGGAAUCUUCCACAAUGGACGAAAGUCUGAUGGAGCAACGCCGCGUGAGUGAAGAAGGUUUUCGGAUCGUAAAACUCUGUUGUUAGAGAAGAACGUGUGUGAGAGUAACUGCUCAUGCAGUGACGGUAUCUAACCAGAAAGCCACGGCUAACUACGUGCCAGCCGCCGCCGUAA